rnacentral:rRNA from 1 species
UACGGGGGGGGCAAGCGUUGUUCGGAAUUACUGGGCGUAAAGGGCGCGUAGGCGGCCUGCUAAGUCGAACGUGAAAUCCCCGGGCUCAACCCGGGAACUGCGUCCGAGACUGGCGGGCUUGAAUCCGGGAGAGGGAUGCGGAAUUCCAGGUGUAGCGGUGAAAUGCGCAGAUAUCAGGAGGAACACCGGUGGCGAAGGCGGGUCUCUGGCCGAUACUGACGCUGAGGAGCGAAAGCGUGGGGAGCAAACAGG